CCAGGCAUAUUACGAAUUCCUGACCUCAGUUGAUCUCCUGCCUUGGCCUCACAAAGUGUUGGAAUUACAGGUGUGAGCCACUGUGCCCAGCCAAGCACAUGUUUAAGAGAGCAGAGGGCUUGGAAAUGAAAUUAUUGCCAACUUUGCCAAUAGUCAAGUCAGUGUGGCUUUUGUUUUAAUUUUGGUAACUGUCAAAAUUAGACCUUGGAUUACUGGAAAAUACUAUCUUGGCUACACUUUGGGUUUUUUGUUUGUUUGUUUGUUUUUAUGUCACAAGUUACUAAGCAAUCCCUUAAGUCUUUUUUUAGGACACUCCAGGUAUUUGGUCAUUCUCAUAUCCUAGUUGUGGGACACUCAGAAUUCAUCCUGUGAAUUCAUCCAGUUUGCAGGAUGCUGAUACUCGUGAGAGCUUUUCCCCUCACAGGAGCCACAGCUUCUAUCAGAACUUUAUGUUGCUAAAUGAGCAGCUUCAUUUUAGGAAGCAAGAGAAAUUCCAGAAUGGGGAUUUUCUCAGACAGCUGAAUUUUUUGGAGAUGGGAUCUGCUUAGUAAUCAUGAGCUGGAAUGUUAGAAAUCCUUGCUCUUUUAUUUAUGAUUCGGAAAGAAACCUUAGUCAUUCAGUCUCUCCUAUCUUUGUGUGCUUUGUUUGCCUAAUACCAACAAAUAAAUACUCUUUUUCCUAAUUCCCAGAGUUUCACAUCCUGCUCAUCCAUUCUACUGUUUUGAGAACUUUUGCUCUGAUGAAUUUAUUCUGUCAGACCUAAAUUCCUUGUUACCUGUUUGUGUAACUCAAACUUGCUGAUACAGUCUAUAGAAUAAUAAAUGUUCUUCAGUUUCAAAUAGAGAUUGACUCCCUGUCAGAGUAUACCGUUGAGUCCAGUGUCCUAACAUCUGUGGCUGUGGUCCUGCACGGUGGUCUUUGAGGACUGCGUCACUUACCAGCUGUGUGACCCUGGUCACCCACUUAAUCUCCCUGAGCCUUGAUUUCCUCAUCUUUAAAAUGAUGGGCUUCAUGUUGACAAUCCUUGUUUUUUCAGAAUAACACCUAGAAGCAAUGUGAGAGUCUUCAAUUCCAAAGAAAUAUUGAACUAUGUUUACUACACUACAGUUAGGAAUGCAUUUAGUAUUUUAGGAAAGACUUUUUAAAAAAUAAGAGAGCCAAAACGUCCAGUUUCACAAAAGUUCUGUUUUGUUUAAACUACAUUGUAGUUUCUUAUUGCUAGAUGCUUUAAAUCACAUUAUCUCAAAUUCUCACAGAUACAUUUUCAAAGAUAUAUGAAAUUAUCCUCAAUUUUCAGAAGCAAAUAAAUUUAGUUGAUUUCCC
rnacentral:lncRNA from 1 species